rnacentral:rRNA from 1 species
CCGUAGGUGAACCAGCGGAGGGAUCAUUAUAGAGUUUCUACUCUUCAACCCCUGUGAACUUACCUAUUAUCCUCCGGCGGAACGCCCCGGUGCCUUCGGGGCCGGGCCAGGCGCCCGCCGGGGACCAAACAAACUGUAUUUGUCUCCUGUAUACCUCAGAAAUUGGCGUAAAGCCGAAAUGUAACAACUUUUGACAAUGGAUCUCUUGGCACUGGCAUCGAUGAAGAACGCAGCGAAAUGCGAUAAGUAAUGUGAAUUGCAGAGCACAGUGAAUCAUCGAAUCUUUGAACGCACAUGGCGCCCGCCGGUAAUCCGGCGGGCAUGCCUGUCCGAGCGUCAUUUCAACCCUCAGAACCCCUCUCUCGGGAGGGCGUUACUGGUGUUGGGGAACGAGCGCCCCCCGCGGCGCCCGUCCCUUAAAUCUAUUGGCGGCUCCGGAGUCUGUCUCCCCUGCGUAGUAUUGCAUCUCGCUUUGGUGACGUCCCCGGGCUGCUGUGGCUCUGCCACGAAACCCCCACUAGGUUGACCUCGGAUCAGGUAGGGAUACCCGCUGAACUUAAGCAUAUCAAUAAGCGGAGGAAAAGAAACCAACAGGGAUUGCCUCAGUAAC